rnacentral:rRNA from 1 species
UACGGAGGGUGCAAGCGUUAAUCGGAAUUACUGGGCGUAAAGCGCACGUAGGUGGUUUUGUAACUCGGAUGUGAAAGCACUGUGCUUAACCUGGGAAUUGCAUUCGAUACUGCUUGACUAGAGUAUGGUAGAGGGAAGUGGAAUUUCCGGUGUAGCGGUGAAAUGCGUAGAUAUCGGAAGGAACACCAGUGGCGAAGGCGACUUCCUGGGCCAAUACUGACACUGAGGUGCGAAAGCGUGGGUAGCAAACAGG